AUGUGGGUGGCAGGAGUCCGAGCACUUGGGCCCUCAUCUGCUGCCUUCGCAGGCACAUUAGCAGGGAGCUGGAUCAGCGGCUGGAACCUGUGCUCCGUUACAGGAUGCCGGUGUCACAGAUGGCGGCUUAACCUGCUGUGCCACCACCCGCCUCUGGCUUACUCUCUUGGCAGCAUAAUCUCAAUCUCUCCUCCAUCACAGAGAAGGCGGGGUGGCGAGUGGGGACCCAAGAGGAGUAUUUUGGUAAGCAGCCUCGGGUGCGGGGGGAGGGUGAGGACCCCCAUUCCCGGGGGACACACUGCAGUUCCAGGAGCUCGACAGGACCGCAGGCGAAGGCCAGAGCUGACGACAAUGGGAGGUUUGGGGAGCGACCCAGGACACGGGUGGCUAAUGCUUGCAGAAGACACACACGGCCUGUGCCCGGAGGGAAGGAGCAGGAGGUGCGGAACCCAGAACACUGAGGGACGAGGGAGCGGUGGGCAGGAGAGCGCCAUGACGUUAACCAUGAGGUUGGCGCCACAAUGGUGACCGGAGCUGGGCCAGAGAGAGCUGAGCACAGACAGGGGCUGUGCUUAAUUCUGUGGGUUGGGGUACAAGGGUCAGAGCUGAGUUCGAGGCUCACGUCGAUGACGGGUGGGUAAACACCAACGUCCAAGUCCAAGUGCCCAGGGAGUAGGUGCUGCUACAAGGGGCAGGGAAGCACUUGGACAGCAAAGUCUCCCGGGGCUGGCCUCAGACAGAGGACCAUGGGGUGGGCUCAGGGACAGAUGCAGAGGGUCUGAUGGGGCACCAUCUCUCAGCCUCAGCUCCCUCCCUGCCCGCCUAGAACCCGGAGGAGGGCUCCCUCCUCUAGCUGCUGUUUUAGAUGGCUUGGGGCAGCUGCCCCUAGAACCCCAGCGCAGUCAGCCAUCGUGGCUAUCACGUGACAAGUAACAGGCAGUGCAGUCUGCGGGCAGGCAUCUGCAGCUUUGCUAAGGCUGCCAAUUGGGAUGUCAGCCUCUCAUCACAGUAACCUGGGUGGCAUCCCGGCUCUGCUUGCAAUCUGAGCUCCCACUAAUGCAACCCUGGGAGGCAGGGGGCUGGCUCAAGUGCUUGGGUCCCUGCCACCCCAGGGCAGGGAGAUGUGGAUAGAGUUCCAGGCUCUUGGCUUCAGCCCAGCCUAGCUCUCGCUGUUGCAGACAUCUGGGAAGUGAACCAGCAGACAGAAGAUCAUUUGAUCUCCUCUCUCUCUCUCUCUCUCUCUUUCUCUCUCUCUCUCCCUGCCUUUCAAAUAAAAAUGAACAAAUAAAAGGCA
rnacentral:lncRNA from 1 species